GUCCCCCACAUUGGAACUGAGACACGGUCCAAACUCCUACGGGAGGCAGCAGUGAGGAAUAUUGGUCAAUGGACGAGAGUCUGAACCAGCCAAGUAGCGUGAAGGAUGACUGCCCUAUGGGUUGUAAACUUCUUUUAUAUGGGAAUAAAGUGRUCCACGUGUGGAUUUUUGUAUGUACCAUAUGAAUAAGGAUCGGCUAACUCCGUGCCAGCAGCCGCGGUAAUACGGAGGAUCCGAGCGUUAUCCGGAUUUAUUGGGUUUAAAGGGAGCGUAGGUGGACAGUUAAGUCAGUUGUGAAAGUUUGCGGCUCAACCGUAAAAUUGCAGUUGAUACUGGCUGUCUUGAGUACAGUAGAGGUGGGCGGAAUUCGUGGUGUAGCGGUGAAAUGCUUAGAUAUCACGAAGAACUCCGAUUGCGAAGGCAGCUCACUGGACUGCAACUGACACUGAUGCUCGAAAGUGUGGGUAUCAAACAGGAUUAGAUACCCUGGUAGUCCACACAGUAAACGAUGAAUACUCGCUGUUUGCGAUAUACAGUAAGCGGCCAAGCGAAAGCAUUAAGUAUUCCACCUGGGGAGUACGCCGGCAACGGUGAAACUCAAAGGAAUUGACGGGGGCCCGCACAAGCGGAGGAACAUGUGGUUUAAUUCGAUGAUACGCGAGGAACCUUACCCGGGCUUAAAUUGCAUUUGAAUAUAUUGGAAACAGUAUAGUCGUAAGACAAAUGUGAAGGUGCUGCAUGGUUGUCGUCAGCUCGUGCCGUGAGGUGUCGGCUUAAGUGCCAUAACGAGCGCAACCCUUAUCUUYAGUUACUAACAGGUCAUGCUGAGGACUCUGGAGAGACUGCCGUCGUAAGAUGUGAGGAAGGUGGGGAUGACGUCAAAUCAGCACGGCCCUUACGUCCGGGGCUA
rnacentral:rRNA from 1 species